UCCGGCUUAUCACCGGCGGUUUCUUUAGAGUGCCCAACUAAAUGAUGGCAACUAAAGACGAGGGUUGCGCUCGUUGCGGGACUUAACCCAACAUCUCACGACACGAGCUGACGACAGCCAUGCAGCACCUGUGUACUGGUUCUCUUUCGAGCACUCCCAAAUCUCUCCGGGAUUCCAGCCAUGUCAAGGGUAGGUAAGGUUUUUCGCGUUGCAUCGAAUUAAUCCACAUCAUCCACCGCUUGUGCGGGUCCCCGUCAAUUCCUUUGGGUUUUAACCUUGCGGCCGUACUCCCCAGGCGGUCAACUUCACGCGUUAGCUUCGUUACUAAUGGGUUUAACCCCACCAACAACCAGUUGACAUCGUUUAGGGCGUGGACUAC
rnacentral:misc_RNA from 1 species